GAUCCUGGCUUAGGAUGAACGUUGGCGGUGUGCCUAAUACAUGCAAGUCGAACGGUGACGAUUUGUAGUAAUACGAAUGAAAUCAUAGUGGCGAAACGGGUGAGUAACGCGUUGGGUGAUCUGACCUCGAAAGUGUGGAAUAACUUCCCGAAAGGGUAGCUAAUACCGCAUAGUCUCUCAGGGUUUAGAAAACUGAGAGUAAAGGAUUUAUUCGCUUCGAGAGGAGCCUGCGUCCCAUCAGCUAGUUGGUAGGGUAACGGCCUACCAAGGCAAUGACGGGUAGGGGACCUGAGAGGGUGGCCCCCCACAAUGGAACUGAAACACGGUCCAUACACCUACGGGUGGCAGCAGUAGGGAAUAUUAGAAAUGGGCGAAAAAGCCUGAUCUAGCAACACCGCGUGUGCGAUGAAGGCCUUCGGGUCGUAAAGCACUUUUUGGAGGGAAUAGGAAGGAAGGUACCUCCAGAAUAAGUCUCGGCUAACUACGUGCCAGCCGCCGC
rnacentral:rRNA from 1 species